GAUGAACGCUGGCGGCGUGCUUAACACAUGCAAGUCGAAUGAAGCACUUUAUUUGAUUUCCUUCGGGACUGAUUAUUUUGUGACUGAGUGGCGGACGGGUGAGUAACGCGUGGGUAACCUGCCUUGUACAGGGGGAUAACAGUUGGAAACGGCUGCUAAUACCGCAUAAGCGCACGGCAUCGCAUGAUGCAGUGUGAAAAACUCCGGUGGUAUAAGAUGGACCCGCGUUGGAUUAGCUAGUUGGUGAGGUAACGGCCCACCAAGGCGACGAUCCAUAGCCGACCUGAGAGGGUGACCGGCCACAUUGGGACUGAGACACGGCCCAAACUCCUACGGGAGGCAGCAGUGGGGAAUAUUGCACAAUGGGCGAAAGCCUGAUGCAGCGACGCCGCGUGAGCGAAGAAGUAUUUCGGUAUGUAAAGCUCUAUCAGCAGGGAAGAUAAUGACGGUACCUGACUAAGAAGCACCGGCUAAAUACGUG
rnacentral:rRNA from 1 species